UAAUUCUAGAGCUAAUACAUGCCUGAAAAUCCUGACUUCGGAAGGGAUGUGUUUAUUAGAUAAAAAACCAAUGCCCUUCGGGGCUUUUUGGUGAUUCAUGAUAACUUUACGGAUCGCAUAGCCUUGCGCUGGCGACGGUUCAUUCAAAUUUCUGCCCUAUCAACUUUCGAUGGUAAGGUAUUGGCUUACCAUGGUUUCAACGGGUAACGGGGAAUUAGGGUUCGAUUCCGGAGAGGGAGCCUGAGAAACGGCUACCACAUCCAAGGAAGGCAGCAGGCGCGCAAAUUACCCAAUCCCGACACGGGGAGGUAGUGACAAUAAAUACUGAUACAGGGCUCUUUUGGGUCUUGUAAUUGGAAUGAGUACAAUUUAAACCUCUUAACGAGGAACAAUUGGAGGGCAAGUCUGGUGCCAGCAGCCGCGGUAAUUCCAGCUCCAAUAGCGUAUAUUAAAGUUGUUGCAGUUAAAAAGCUCGUAGUUGAAACUUGGGCCUGGCUGGCGGGUCCGCCUCACCGCGUGCACUCGUCCGGCCGGGCCUUCCUUCUGAAGAACCUCAUGCCCUUCACUGGGCGUGUUGGGGAAUCAGGACUUUUACUUUGAAAAAAUUAGAGUGUUCAAAGCAGGCCUUUGCUCGAAUACGUUAGCAUGGAAUAAUAAAAUAGGGCGUGCGUUUCUAUUUUGUUGGUUUCUAGAGACGCCGCAAUGAUUAACAGGAACAGUCGGGGGCAUCAGUAUUCAGUUGUCAGAGGUGAAAUUCUUGGAUUUACUGAAGACUAACUACUGCGAAAGCAUUUGCCAAGGAUGUUUUCAUUAAUCAGUGAACGAAAGUUAGGGGAUCGAAGACGAUCAGAUACCGUCGUAGUCUUAACCGUAAACUAUGCCGACUAGGGAUCGGGCGAUGUUCUUUUUCUGACUCGCUC
rnacentral:rRNA from 1 species